CGCACCUUGCGCCCUUUGGUAUUCUGAAGGGCAUGGCUGUCUGAGUGUCGUGAACCCCUCAACUCGUCCUCCUCUUGUGGUCGAUGGGCUUGGACAUGGGGGCUUGUCGGGCUACGCAUGGCCCGGCUCCCCUCGAAUGCAUUAGCAAGCUAUGAUAUGCCACCGUGGAUGUGAUAGCCUUUCCCAUCGCCGGCAGUGCCCAUCCAGCAUGCUGCCAGCCGUCCUGCCUGGGACAACAACCUCUGACGACUUGACCUCAGAUUAGAUGGGACUACCCGCUAAACUUAA
rnacentral:misc_RNA from 1 species